rnacentral:rRNA from 1 species
CAAGGCUUGACAUACACGAGAACGCUGCAGAAAUGUAGAACUCUUUGGACACUCGUGAACAGGUGGUGCAUGGUUGUCGUCAGCUCGUGUCGUGAGAUGUUGGGUUAAGUCCCGCAACGAGCGCAACCCUCGUUCUAUGUUGCCAGCACGUAAUGGUGGGAACUCAUGGGAUACUGCCGGGGUCAACUCGGAGGAAGGUGGGGAUGACGUCAAAUCAUCAUGCCCCUUAUGUCUUGGGCUUCACGCAUGCUACAAUGGCCGGUACAAAGGGCUGCGAUACCGUAAGGUGGAGCGAAUCCCAAAAAGCCGGUCCCAGUUCGGAUUGAGGUCUGCAACUCGACCUCAUGAAGUCGGAGUCGCUAGUAAUCGCAGAUCAGCAACGCUGCGGUGAAUACGUUCCC